rnacentral:rRNA from 1 species
UACGUAGGGUGCAAGCGUUAAUCGGAAUUACUGGGCGUAAAGCGUGCGCAGGCGGUUAUGUAAGACAGAUGUGAAAUGCCCGGGCUUAACCUGGGAACUGCAUUUGUGACUGCAUCGCUGGAGUGCGGCAGAGGGGGAUGGAAUUCCGCGUGUAGCAGUGAAAUGCGUAGAUAUGCGGAGGAACACCGAUGGCGAAGGCAAUCCCCUGGGCCUGCACUGGACGCUCAUGCACGAAAGCGUGGGGAGCAAACAGG